rnacentral:snoRNA from 1 species
GCGGUGGACAACUAUCCUGCGCGCCCGUCAUGUGGGCGCCUGGCUGAUUUCCCCCGCAUAGUAAACCCAGAACGUUUUAUCUACCUCCUGCCGCGGCUGCAUCUAGCCCGCCUCGGGGUUAAAACGCCGUGCUACAUCC